GGGAAUGUAGCUCAGUGGUACAGCACCUGCCUAGUAUGCAUGAAGUCCUGAGUUUGGCUCUAGCAUUACCA
rnacentral:tRNA from 1 species